rnacentral:misc_RNA from 1 species
UCGAGUUUAUCCAACUCCCAACCCUAUGUGAACCUACCUUUAUGUUGCUUCGGCGGUCUCGCGCCGGGUUGCUCCCUUGGGGGCUCCCGGGACCACGCGUCCGCCGGAGACCACAAACUCUUGAUUUUGCGAAAGCAGUAUUAUUCUGAGUGGCCGAAAGGCAAAAAACAAAUGAAUCA